rnacentral:rRNA from 1 species
UCGGGAAUUUUGGGCAAUGGGGGAAACCCUGACCCAGCAACGCCGCGUGAAGGAUGAAGUAUUUCGGUAUGUAAACUUCGAAAGAAUAGGAAGAAUAAAUGACGGUACUAUUUAUAAGCUCCGGCUAACUACGUGCCAGCAGCCGCGGUAAUACGUAGGGAGCAAGCGUUGUUCGGAUUUACUGGGCGUAAAGGGCGCGUAGGCGGUUAUAUGUGUGGGAUGUGAAAGCCCCGGGCUCGACCUGGGAAGUGCAUACCAAACUAUAUAACUGGAGUAUGUGAGAGGGUGGCGGAAUUUCCGGUGUAGCGGUGAAAUGCGUAGAGAUCGGAAGAACACCAGUGGCGAAGGCGGCUCACUGGAUCGGUACUGACGCUGAGGUGCGAAAGCGUGGGGAGCAAACAGGAUUAGAUACCCCUGUAGUCCCUGAGCGGGCUGGCAAGGCGCAU